AUGCCCUCUAACUAGAGCGACCUCUGGUGUCCAACUCAUCGACUUGGUUUCUAGCUCACGUCAGGAAAUUGGUGGAGAAAUUAGUUGAGGAACAAGGUCAAUAGGUUUAAAAUCGGUUACUUGGGUCACGAAAUUGGUAAGUACCAAAUUAUCUUUUAACUAUUGAGAUGAUUUCACUAUUUUGAUAUAAAAAGUUUCCAAAAUACGGAGCACUGGGAUGCAAUCAAGGAAUCGAUACAAGUAGAAUGUGCAAGCCGUUUCAAGGACAAAAAGUCAGGAAUGAAAAAACAUUUUGAUAGGCAUGGAGGUUAUAAAGAUGUUGAAGAGGCAAAGAGACACCCCCCUCCCCCGAGUCAAUGGAUCCAGAAGCAUGGUGUAAGCUCAUUGAUGGGUUGUUCACAACUCCCGAGUAUAUGAAUCGUUCUGAAAAAAAUAAGGCAAACAGAGCAAAACAACUUUAUGGAAGUUAUCACGGGAGUCAAUCUCUUGCCAAUAGGCGACACAAAGAGGUUAAAGAAACCGGGUGAGCCCGCUAUGUUGAAGGUUGGAAAGAAAUGCAUUGUAAGAAAGGCAAAUGGAUUAACGACAAUGCAAAACAUGCUUGGGAAAACAUUGAAGAAGAGUAUAAUAGAUCAUUGUCGUGCUCGGGUGGGGAUGAAAUGGCGGUUGAUCAAGUUGGGUGUCUUAAAAAAGCU
rnacentral:lncRNA from 1 species